GUUGGAAGAUGCAGUCCAGUAUCUGGAGAGUCACACGAUUCCCACCCCAGGGCUAAACUAUAAAGGUCUGAAGAGCAUAGAUUGUUGUAGAAAUGUGAUGAAUCACAAAGCAAAGGAUGACAAAUGGAAAAAUAACACAGGGGUGUUUCCUGAAGGUGAUAGAAAGAAUUACAUGGCUGGUCAUAUGGCUGCCUGGAUGGUCAUGUGCUGUUGUUUCACAUCACUCUUGGGUGGUAUCAAGCAAGAGCAAUGGAACAGCAGGAGAGACCAUUGUAGUGAGAUCACAGGUGACAGGUUUCUUUUUAUUGUGCUCAAAAAGGACUGAUGUGGUGCCCUAAAAACAAUUAUUCCAUGGCAAGAAUUUGUUCCUCAGAUUGGACUUCUCCUGACACCUUGAUAAACAAGGAACAUGGCGUGUCACCCGAUGUCCUGGUAUCCCAGAGUCCUAGUCCAUCAGUAACACCACUAUGUCACUUUUAACCCUCUGUCGCAUUUAUAGUUUUCUACAGAGAAUGGAAGAUGGAUGUUGGUCUAUUAAUAAUGGCUAGGACAACAAGUUGCAAUCAAAGUGCUACCAAAAUUAUUUAUAAUGAUGUUUGUAGCAGUAUAAUAUAACAAGUUACAAUUUAUUAAGUUAUUUAAAGAAAAUGUAGAGUUUUCAAAACACAUUGCUUUCAGUAUGUUUGAGUUAGCUUAACUUUGUGUUAAAGAAUUUAGUAAGGAAUGAAAAAGAAAAGAAAAGAAAUGCACACUAGAAAGAAUAAUAAGAAAAGUAUUAUAAAUUAAUUAAUGCAUCAGUACUAAAUGUGGAGAUCCUGUAUGUUUACAUUUUCUCACAGCAAUGAAACUUUAAUUUCCCAAAUAUACCUAAAUUCCUGCCAUGCAGUUAUUGGUCAAAUAAUUCUAUAUAGCAUUUUUGGAGAAAAAAAAGAUUACCCAGAAAUGAGCUUUAGUGUUCACUUCUAGAGUUUCUGCCAUAUCAGAGUCAGGAAGAUCAAUGAACGCCUUUCCUUUUAAGACACCUGCAUUGUUGAUUAGAAUUUCUACAUCACCCACUUCUUUUUUAACCUGCAGAAACAAAAAGGGAAACUUGAGAUGUUAUGUCUAAAACACAUUAAUACAGCCUACAGCAAGGGUGGACAAAGUGUAGCAUAGGGCCUAGCAGAUAAGUUUUAGAUCCUCUAUGGUUUUCAUCUGGAAUCCUAUAGAGGGAGUAUAUAUGGCCUCCUCAAUCCCUGGAAGUUGUCAGCUCCUAGACUCAAUUAUAUUGGUAUCAGAACUUAAUUGUAUUAAGCAGAGAAGACUUUUUGUGUCAUUUGUAAGCCGCAUCAAGAUGGAGACUGACUCAUUACAUUUACUCCUUUCAGAUUUCAUGUUUGUAUAUUGAAUAAAACAUUUAAAUACCCAGCUAUAUAAAUAUAUAUAGUACAUGAUAUGAACUUUUUGUAGUGGUGUUGGUUAACUUGCAGACUUUGUUUCACAAAUUGUAUUUUAUAUUUGCUCUUUCAAUAAAUGGUUAAGAAAGGGAGAGAGAGCAAGCAAGAGAGAGAGAGAGAAGACAGACCUAUAACUUACCUGCAGGAGGAACAGUAUGAACUAGGGAUGAAUGAGCUUUCCAAAAUUCAUGAAUUUCUUUUUAAAGUUUGAACAAAAAUGAGUUUUAAACUUUUUUUAAUGGGGAGGGAGCACAGAGAAUGAAACCUGCUUUGGGAAUGGUAUUUGCCAUCAGGCCAAUAACCUUUUAUUAACCUUGCUCUAUCAUAUUCGUUAUUGCAAACAUUUUUUUUUUGUUCAGAAUUUCAUUGCAAACUUUUAUAAUGUCCAUAUAGCGAAGGGCACUUGUAUUUUAAUUCAUUUACUAUGCAUUUUGUAAAUUAUUAUCAAAAUGUGAAAUGAAUGAAAUCCUCCCCCAACUUUAACAAUUAUGAUUACAGCCUAAAGUGAUAUAUAUCCAAUAUUCUUCUUACCUGGCUUGUAAACUGCUUUCUUUCUGUAGACUUUCCUGGGCUUAUGAAACAGUGAGAUAAUUUUCACAGUUUAAUUUGCCAAACACUUUCUUGCUUAAAGGAGCAACAAUUAGAUAUUACAGUU